rnacentral:rRNA from 1 species
GACGAACGCUGGCGGCGUGCUUAACACAUGCAAGUCGAACGGAAAGGCCCUGCUUUUGUGGGGUGCUCGAGUGGCGAACGGGUGAGUAACACGUGAGUAACCUGCCAUUGACUUUGGGAUAACUUCAGGAAACUGGGUAUAAUACCGGAUAGGAGCUCAUGCUUCAUGGUUGGGGUUGGAAAGAUUCGGCGGUUGGUGAUGGAAUCGCGGCUUAUCAGCAUGUUGGUGGGGUAGUGGCUUACCAAGGCUUUGACGGGUAGCCGGCCUGAGAAGGUGACCGGGCACAUUGGGACUGAGGUACGGGCCAGACUCCUACGGGAGGCAGCAGUGGGGAAUAUUGCACAAUGGGCGGAAGCCUGAUGCAGCAACGCCGCGUGCGGGAUGACGGCCUUCGGGUUGUAAACCGCUUUUGCAUGUGACGAAGCGUGAGUGACGGUAAUGGGUAAAGAAGCACCGGCUAACUACGUG